CACAUGCAGUCGAGCGGAACGAUGGUAGCUUGCUACCAGGCGUCGAGCGGCGGACGGCGUGAGUAAUACUUAGGAAUCUACCUAGUAGUGGGGGAUAGCACGGGGAAACUCGUAUUAAUACCGCAUACGUCCUACGGGAGAAAGGGGGCAACUUGUUGCUCUCGCUAUUAGAUGAGCCUAAGUCGGAUUAGCUAGAUGGUGGGGUAAAGGCCUACCAUGGCGACGAUCUGUAGCUGGUCUGAGAGGAUGAUCAGCCACACCGGGACUGAGACACGGCCCGGACUCCUACGGGAGGCAGCAGUGGGGAAUAUUGGACAAUGGGGGAAACCCUGAUCCAGCCAUGCCGCGUGUGUGAAGAAGGCCUUUUGGUUGUANAAGCACUUUAAGCAGUGAAGAAGACUCUUCGGUUAAUACCCGGAGACGAUGACACUUAAGCUGCAGAAUAAGCACCGGCUAACUCUGUGCCAGCAGCCGCGGUAAUACAGAGGGUGCAAGCGUU
rnacentral:rRNA from 1 species